rnacentral:rRNA from 1 species
CCAAUUGGUGAUGCCUUAGUAGCGGCGAGUGAGCGGCAAAAGCUCAAAUUUGAAAUCUGGCACCUUCGGUGUCCGAGUUGUAAUUUGAAGAUUGUAACCUUGGGGUUGGCUCUUGUCUAUGUUUCUUGGAACAGGACGUCACAGAGGGUGAGAAUCCCGUGCGAUGAGAUGCCCAAUCCUAUGUAAGGUGCUUUCGAAGAGUCGAGUUGUUUGGGAAUGCAGCUCUAAGUGGGUGGUAAAUUCCAUCUAAAGCUAAAUAUUGGCGAGAGACCGAUAGCGAACAAGUACAGUGAUGGAAAGAUGAAAAGAACUUUGAAAAGAGAGUGAAAAAGUACGUGAAAUUGUUGAAAGGGAAGGGUUUGAGAUCAGACUCGAUAUUUUGUGAGCCUUGCCUUCGUGGCGGGGUGACCCGCAGCUUAUCGGGCCAGCAUCGGUUUGGGCGGUAGGAUAAUGGCGUAGGAAUGUGACUUUGCUUCGGUGAAGUGUUAUAGCCUGCGUUGAUGCUGCCUGCCUAGACCGAGGACUGCGAUUUUAUCAAGGAUGCUGGCAUAAUGAUCCCAAACCGCCCGUCUUGAAACACGGACCAA